rnacentral:sRNA from 1 species
AAAAGCCCUGGUGGUAGCCAACAUAGAUGGGAGGGAGAGGAGCAGGGGAUGAAGUCAGAGGAGUGGCAGAGGGUCAGAGGACAGAGGGUCUUGUAGGCCAUUAUAAAUAUUUCGGCUUUUACCCUUAGUGAGAUGGGAAGUCAUUGGAGGCUCUUGAGGAGAUAAUACGGAAGCUGUAGAGAGGUUAAAUAGUUUUUCCAAGGUAAAACAGCUUGUAAGUGGCAGAAGGUAGGGAGUUAAGCUCCAAGGCUGAAGUUCUUAACCCCAUGCUGCCACUGAACUUUAGCCUUCUUUAUUUGGGCAUUGCUCUCCUGUGACUUCAAAGAAACUGGGACACUGGGAAGUUAUGCGGCUUGCCCAAGGCCACACAGCUGGUAAGUGACAGGGGCAGGACUGCGCCUUAGUCUGUCUGCAGCCCGACUCCAAGUUCUUUACACCACACCGCCUCCCUCAGGUGUCUGGACCAUACUGGCUUCUCUUGCAUGGAGGUCACUGCAGUGGGAGAGGAGGCAAACCAAGGAGACCGUCUCGGCUUCGGGCAGCGGUGCUGUUCCUUAGGAAGCUCCAACCCUUGGCUCUACCGGACUGCGGGCAUCUUUCCCGAGCACUGCACGGAAGAAAAGAAAAUUGGCCCUUAUUUCAGGGUG